UACGGAGGUUCCAAGCGUUGUUCGGAAUUACUGGGCGUAAAGGGGGCGCAGGCGGACUGGUCAGUGGAAAGUGGAAGCCCGGGGCUCAACCUCGGAGGUGCUUUCCAUACUGCCAGUCUUGAGUUCGUGAGAGGAGAGCGGAAUUCAGGGUGUAGCGGUGAAAUGCUUAGAUAUCCUGAGGAACACCGGUGGCGAAAGCGGCUCUCUGGCACGAAACUGACGCUGAGGCCCGAAAGCGUGGGGAGCGAACGGG
rnacentral:rRNA from 1 species